ACACAGUUCUAGUUAGAGUGUUGUCGUGAUAAGAACAAUUGAGACAUUAGCAAGAAAUUGUAAGCUCGAAUAACGAGCAAUGUUAAGUUAAGUGUUAAGAUGUUGAAAUUAGAAAUAACGAUAAGUUAUAGCCAUUAAAUUGGGACUUUUAUUUAGCAAUCCAGUGAUCGAACUCAAGAGUGAGUUAUAGGUAGACGAUUUAUCGAGAAAUCCGUUACAGUAUUAUAGAGAAGGAAGAUCUUAUUGUGUACAUUGAAAUAAGCGAAACAAAAUCAAUUAGAAAAUUUUAAAAUGAAUUUCGACAAGAUUUUAGCAUAGAAUGUUAAUGAAUUCAUUUUGUUGUUUAAUACGUAACAAUCUUGGAAAGGAGGCAAACUUCUUAAAUUGGCCAAACAACAAUACCCUUCAGCGAUUACAGCAAAAUUCAUAGUAUUUUUGACUUAUGAAAUUCACUUUCACCAAGUCGAGAGGCCUUUAAUUUGAGAUUAUCUCAAUCACGCCAAGUGAUUGAUUAUACGUUUGGAGUUUCAGCACUCGAUGGCGAAUUUUAUCAAAUCAUGAAGUACAUUUGCAAAGCCACUGUAUUGCUGCAUAAUACCCUGGUUAUAUAGAUGACCAAGAAGUUAACGUUCUAGUUCCUGGGAAGUGACGGACACAAAUCAUUCGGUUAAGGAGAACAAAAUUCUUGUUCUCAAACGCCACUCGUCAUGCUUUUCAACUUCGACAACUUAUACAAAUACAUCGAAAAAAACCUUAUCCAUCAAUCCCUAUUUAUAUUUAUAAAAUAUUUGUUUAGCAUUUAAAAUUGGAUUUUAAUACAAUUCAUUGAGUUCAUUACAAACUGUAUUUUCGUAAAUGGACGUAAGUUUAUUUACACUGUAAACACAAAAGAGAGAAACGCCGAAAUAAAAUGAUCUUAAAAAUGUUUUAUUUUA